AAGGGGAGGUCGGAUCCUGGGCUGUGUCCCGGGCUCCCAAUGCUCCCGGUCUGCGCUGUUGGAUUCGUGCUCCUGGCCAGGCAGCCCCCU
rnacentral:pre_miRNA from 1 species